GGAUAGGCACUGGAAACGGUGAUUAAUACCUCAUACUCCUUCUUUCUUAAUGAGAGUUGGGAAAUGUUUUUUCGCUAAGGGAUAAGACUAUAUGGUAUCAGGUAGUUGGUGGGGUAAGAGCCUACCAAGCCAAUGACGCCUAGCUGGUCUGAGAGGAUGAUCAGCCACACUGGAACUGAGACACGGUCCAGACUCCUACGGGAGGCAGCAGUGGGGAAUAUUGCACAAUGGAGGAAACUCUGAUGCAGCAACGCCGCGUGGAGGAUGACGCAUUUCGGUGUGUAAACUCCUUUUAUAUGGGAAGAUAAUGACGGUACCAUAUGAAUAAGCACCGGCUAACUCCGUGCCAGCAGCCGCGGUAAUACGGAGGGUGCAAGCGUUACUCGGAAUCACUGGGCGUAAAGCGCGCGCAGGCGGCCUGAUAAGUUGGAUGUGAAAGCCUACGGCUCAACCGUAGAACUGCAUCCAAAACUGUCAGGCUAGAGUGUGGGAGAGGAAGAUGGAAUUAGUUGUGUAGGGGUAAAAUCCGUAGAGAUAACUAGGAAUACCAAAAGCGAAGGCAAUCUUCUGGAACACUACUGACGCUGAGGCGCGAAAGCGUGGGGAGCAAACGGGAUUAGAUACCCCGGUAGUCCACGCAGUAAACGAUGAAUGUUAGUCGUCGGGUAGCUAGUCUAUUCGGUGAUGCAGCUAACGCAUUAAACAUUCCGCCUGGGGAGUACGGUCGCAAGAUUAAAACUCAAAGGAAUAGACGGGGACCCGCACAAGUGGUGGAGCAUGUGGUUUAAUUCGAAGAUACGCGAAGAACCUUACCUAGCCUUGACUUUAUUAAAAUCUUUCAGAGAUGAGAGAGUGCCUUCGGGAGCUUUUAACAGGUGCUGCACGGCUGUCGUCAGCUCGUGCCUGGAAAUGUUGGGUUAAGUCCCGCAACGAGCCGCACCCUCGUCACUAGUUACUAACGGUUCGGCCAAGGACUCUAUGGAACUGCCUUCCCAAGGAGAAGGA
rnacentral:rRNA from 1 species